rnacentral:rRNA from 1 species
GUGUCAGCAGCCGCGGUAAUACGUAGGUGGCAAGCGUUGUCCGGAAUUACUGGGCGUAAAGCGCGCGUAGACGGCUUAAUAAGUCAGAUGUGAAAGACCCGGGCUCAACCCGGGGGUUGCAUCUGAGACUGCUAAGCUUGAGUGCAGGAGAGGCAAGUGGAAUUCCCAGUGUAGCAGUGAAAUGCGUAGAUAUUGGGAGGAACACCAGUGGCGAAGGCGACUUGCUGGACUGUAACUGACGUUGAGGUGCGAAAGCUAGGGGAGCAAACGGGAUUAGAUACCCCGGUAGUCCUAGCCGUAAACGAUGGGUACUAGGUGUGGGAGGUAUCGACCCCUUCCGUGCCGGAGUGAACGCAAUAAGUACCCCGCCUGGGGAGUACGGCCGCAAGGUUGAA